UACGUAGGGGGCAAGCGUUGUCCGGAUUUAUUGGGCGUAAAGAGCGUGUAGGCGGCCAGGGAGGUCCGUUGUGAAAACUCGAGGCUCAACCUCGAGACGCCGAUGGAAACCCCUGCGUAGAGUCCGGAAGAGGAGAGUGGAAUUCCCGGUGUAGCGGUGAAAUGCGCAGAUAUCGGGAAGAACACCCGUGGCUAAGGCGGCUCUCUAGUACGGUACUGACGCUGAGACGCGAAAGCGUGGGGAGCGAACAGG
rnacentral:rRNA from 1 species